UACGGACGGUGCAAGCGUUGCUCGGAAUCACUGGGCGUAAAGGGUGCGUAGGCGGCCGUGUAAGUCUGGCGUGAAAGCCCCGGGCUCAGCCCGGGAAGUGCGCUCGAAACUGCGCGGCUCGAGUGCCGGAGGGGAGAGUGGAAUUCCUGGUGUAGCGGUGAAAUGCGUAGAUAUCAGGAGGAAUACCGGUGGCGAAAGCGACUCUCUGGACGGCAACUGACGCUGAGGCACGAAAGCGUGGGGAGCAAACAGG
rnacentral:rRNA from 1 species